rnacentral:rRNA from 1 species
UUGGACGGGGACCCGCACAAGCGGUGGAUGAUGUGGAUUAAUUCGAUGCAACGCGAAGAACCUUACCUACCCUUGACAUGUCCGGAACUUGCCAGAGAUGGCUUGGUGCCCGAAAGGGAAUCGGAACACAGGUGCUGCAUGGCUGUCGUCAGCUCGUGUCGUGAGAUGUUGGGUUAAGUCCCGCAACGAGCGCAACCCUUAUCAUUAGUUGCUACGCAAGGGCACUCUAAUGAGACUGCCGGUGACAAACCGGAGGAAGGUGGGGAUGACGUCAAGUCCUCAUGGCCCUUAUGGGUAGGGCUUCACACGUCAUACAAUGGUCGGUACAGAGGGUUGCCAAGCCGCGAGGCGGAGCCAAUCCCACAAAGCCGAUCGUAGUCCGGAUUGUUCUCUGCAACUCGAGAGCAUGAAGUCGGAAUCGCUAGUAAUCGUGGAUCAGAAUGUCACGGUGAAUACGUUCCCGGGUCUU